rnacentral:rRNA from 1 species
GCUAGAAGCGAUAUCACCCUGCAACUCACAACUGGCAAGUGACUGAAGCUCAGCAGGUGUGAGCCUGGUCAGUACCUGGAUGGGAGACCUCCUAGGAAAAACAAAAGUUGCUUCUGGAA